rnacentral:rRNA from 1 species
GACGAACGCUGGCGGCGUGCUUAACACAUGCAAGUCGAACGGAAAGGCCCUUCUUUUGUGGGGUGCUCGAGUGUCGAACGGGUGAGUAACACGUUAGUAACCUGCCCUUUACUUUGGGAUAACUUCAGGAAACUGUGGCUAAUACCGGAUAGGAGCUCCUGCUGCUUGGUGGGGGUUGGAUAGUUUCGGCGGUUGGGGAUGGACUCGCGGCUUAUCAGCUUGUUGGUGGGGUAGUGGCUUACCAAGGAUUUGACGGGUAGCCGGCCUGAGGGGGUGACCGGCAAAAUUGGGACUGAGAUAAGGCCCAGACUACUACGGGAGGAAGCAGUGGGGAAGAUUGCACAAUGGGGGGAAGACGGAUGCAGCAACGCCGCGUGCGGGAGGAAGGACUCCGGGUUGUAAACCGCUUUCGCCUGUGACGAAGCGUGAGUGACGGUAAUGGGUAAAGAAGCACCGGCUAACUACGUG